rnacentral:rRNA from 1 species
AACGAACGCUGGCGGCAGGCUUAACACAUGUAAGUCGAACGAUCUCUUCGGAGGUAGUGGCAGACGGGUGAGUAACACGUGGGAACGUACCUUUCAGUCAGGAAUAACUCAUGGAAACGUGAGCUAAUACCCGAUACGCCCUUUUGGGGAAAGAUUUAUCGCUGAAAGAUCGGCCCGCGUCUGAUUAGCUAGUUGGUGGGGUAAUGGCCUACCAAGGCGACGAUCAGUAGCUGGUCUGAGAGGAUGAUCAGCCACACUGGGACUGAGACACGGCCCAGACUCCUACGGGAGGCAGCAGUGGGGAAUAUUGGACAAUGGGCGCAAGCCUGAUCCAGCCAUGCCGCGUGAGUGAUGACGGCCUUAGGGUUGUAAAGCUCUUUCGACGGGGACGAUAAUGACGGUACCCGUAGAAGAAGCCCCGGCUAACUUCGUGCCAGCAGCCGCCGUAA